rnacentral:rRNA from 1 species
UACGUAGGUGACCAGCGUUGUCCGGAUUUUACUGGGCGUAAAGAGCGCGCAGGCGGUCGUUCAAGUCGAGUGUGAAAGCCCCCGGCUCAACUGGGGAGGGUCACUCGAUACUGAUCGACUGGAAGGCAGGAGAGGGAAGUGGAAUUCCCGGUGUAGUGGUGAAAUGCGUAGAUAUCGGGAGGAACACCAGUGGCGAAGGCGACUUCCUGGCCUGUUCUUGACGCUGAGGCGCGAAAGCUAGGGGAGCAAACAGG